rnacentral:rRNA from 1 species
UAAUGCCGGAUAAGACCACGGCCUCUGCGGGGGCCGCGGCCAAAGGUGGCCUCUUCAUGAAAGCUAUUGCUGAGAGAUGAGCCUGCGUACCAUUAGCUAGUUGGUGAGGUAACGGCUCACCAAGGCUGUGAUGGUUAGCUGGUCUGAGAGGAUGACCAGCCACACUGGGACCGAGACACGGCCCAGACUCCUACGGGAGGCAGCAGUGGGGAAUAUUGCGCAAUGGGGGAAACCCUGACGCAGCGACGCCGCGUGGGUGAUGAAGGCCUUCGGGUCGUAAAGCCCUGUCGUAGGGGAAGAACUGGUUGCAGGCUAAUAUCCUGCAGCCUUGACGGUACCCUACAAGAAAGCACCGGCUAACUCCGUGCCAGCAGCCGCGGUAAUACGGAGGGUGCAAGCGUUGUUCGGAAUUACUGGGCGUAAAGAGCGUGUAGGCGGCUGAUCAAGUCGGGUGUGAAAGCCCGGGGCUUACCCCCGGAAGUGCGCUCGAAACUGGUCAGCUAGAGUAUGGGAGAGGGAAGUGGAAUUCCUGGUGUAGCGGUGAAAUGCGUAGAUAUCAGGAGGAACACCGGCGGCGAACGCGGCUUCCUGGACCAAUACUGACGCUGAGACGCGAAAGCGUGGGGAGCAAACAGGAUUAGAUACCCUGGUAGUCCACGCUGUAAACGAUGGGCACUAGAUGCUGCGGGUAUUGACCCCUGCGGUGUCGUAGUU